rnacentral:rRNA from 1 species
AAAUUGAAGAGUUUGAUCAUGGCUCAGAUUGAACGCUGGCGGCAGGCCUAACACAUGCAAGUCGAGCGGAAACGAGUUAUCAGAACCUUCGGGGAACGAUAACGGCGUCGAGCGGCGGACGGGUGAGUAAUGCCUAGGAAAUUGCCCUGAUGUGGGGGAUAACCAUUGGAAACGAUGGCUAAUACCGCAUGAUGCCUACGGGCCAAAGAGGGGGACCUUCGGGCCUCUCGCGUCAGGAUAUGCCUAGGUGGGAUUAGCUAGUUGGUGAGGUAAGGGCUCACCAAGGCGACGAUCCCUAGCUGGUCUGAGAGGAUGAUCAGCCACACUGGAACUGAGACACGGUCCAGACUCCUACGGGAGGCAGCAGUGGGGAAUAUUGCACAAUGGGCGCAAGCCUGAUGCAGCCAUGCCGCGUGUGUGAAGAAGGCCUUCGGGUUGUAAAGCACUUUCAGUCGUGAGGAAGGUAGUGUAGUUAAUAGCUGCAUUAUUUGACGUUAGCGACAGAAGAAGCACCGGCUAACUCCGUGCCAGCAGCCGCGGUAAUACGGAGGGUGCGAGCGUUAAUCGGAAUUACUGGGCGUAAAGCGCAUGCAGGUGGUUUGUUAAGUCAGAUGUGAAAGCCCGGGGCUCAACCUCGGAAUUGCAUUUGAAACUGGCAGACUAGAGUACUGUAGAGGGGGGUAGAAUUUCAGGUGUAGCGGUGAAAUGCGUAGAGAUCUGAAG